UCCCUGGAGUUUUACAGCUAGA
rnacentral:miRNA from 1 species